CUGUAGACCAAGGCCACGGCGUCAUGGCCCCAUGACCCCUCAGAGGCCCAGCAGAAAGGAAGCGAGAAGUCUGGCCUAAGAGACAGCAAGUACACACAAACUGAAAGAAGAGGUCAAAGAAAAGGCUGACGGCAAACUAACAAAAAGAAAAAUGGUGACUGAUACCCAGUGCUGGCAGUCUCGUUUAAACUAUGUGCAGGAAUAGCAAAGGAAAUCCAGCAAAUCUGGCACAGUCAUUAUCAACCCUGGCCAUGCAGCAAAAUCACCAGCGAAAAUUUUCAAAAAUACACGUGGCCAGGCCCCAGCCCAAACUACUGAAUAACAAUCUCCAGGCUUUCACCUGCUAGACUGGCAAAAAUCCAAAAGUAACCACUCUGGAGAAACAGGCAUUCCUAGACAGUACUGGUGGGAUACAGAAUGGUACAAUUCUCAUGAAAUUUCACAGUAGUUAACAAAUUAAACAUAUUUAUACUUUUUAACCCAGGAAUCCCAUAUUUAGGAGUCCAGUGAGAAGAUACAGCCCACAAAUACCAAACAGCAUGUGCCCCCGGACCUUUCCCUGUAAUCAUGCGCCUGCCUAUCCAGAGGGUACUGGUUGGAUAAGCUUCCUACAUCUGUCCAACAGAGAACCACGCAGCCCACUAGAGGAGCGAUGGCCAGACAACUGACUAAGAUGCCUUCCGUGUAAAUAAAACAGGAAAGGGAAAAAAGAAGGCACGUUUUUGCUUAUUUAGGGGAAAAAGAAAGACUGAAAGGAUAAGCUAGUAAAACGGAUUCCCUAUGGGGGUGGGGAAUGGGCUGGAAAGGGAUGAGAGUGAGGCUUUCCUGAAUAGAUCUUUUUAUAUUGCUUUGACUUUUGAGCCAUACAAAUAUUUACAUAUUUAAAAACUACAAGUCAGAAAAGAAGAAAGCAAAUUCUAAAAUUGAAAAGAAAAUGAAACAAAAACAGCCUAGCUAUCUAUGAAACUGACAACAGAAGCACACGGAGAGAAGCCUGGUUCCACGUGACUUUAGAGCCUAGUGACCAGGCAUCCUUAGUGGGUUACACUCUAAGGGCAAAGAGGAAAGGCAAUUUCAAUCAGAUCUAUUGUUAGAAGUAAUAUUGGUACUAUGAUUUCAAAACUUUUAAGUAUAUUAUAGGAUAGAGCAGAUAAGUAUGUUAAUGUAGCACACAUGUUCAGGCUUAAGAGAAAAAGAGGUACAAUAAAAGGUCAAGUAAACAAAUCCUUUGAUUUUUACUUAGAAACACCAAUAUGGGCCAGGCGUGGUGGCUCAUGCCUGUAAUCCCAGCUCUUUGGGAUGCCAAGGCUGGCGGAUCAACUGAAUUCAAGACCAGCCUGGCCAACAUGGUAAAACCCUAUCUCUACUAAAAUACAAAAAUUAGCUGGGUGUGGUGGCACAUGCCUGUAAUCACAGCUACUCAGGAGGUUGAGGCAUGAGAAUCGCUUGAACCCCGGAGGCAGAGGUUGCAGAGAGCCGUGAUCGGGUCACUGCGCUCCAGCCUGGGAGACAGAGCGAGACUGUGUCUCAAAAAAAAAAAAAAAAAGAAAGAAAGAAAGAAAUACCAGUAUGGAUUCACUCUGAAAACAUUUCCUAGAUCUGUCUACCAAAAUGCCCCAGGAGCACGACAAACACCCUAGCACCCACAGCUUGACUUCUAAAUGUCAUUCCCCAUUACAAGAAACCAGAGCAGCUUGGAGAAAUGAAUCAAUCCAGUGUGCGGCAAGGACACCCAUGGUGAUCCCAUGACAUUCUGCUGUGCUGGAGGCGAGACUGACCGGGCCACGGGGAGGACCUGAGCUAGCAGGAAGGGGCUCUCACCAUGUGAACGUCAGAAACAAUAAUGACUGUAAACAACUUUUAAUAUGCCGAAUGAAUAAAACUAUGAAUCUAUCCAUACAAAAAUAUAAAAAUCAAAAGCUAAGGCAGCUGGGGCUGGGAAGCACUGCUUCAGGAUUCCCAGCAGCUUUUUGUCCAGGAGGCCCUUUGCUAGGUAGGAGUCACCACUGUGCGGAAAUGCGGUUAUAUUCAUCACAGUCAUGCUCAAAACAGAAAACUACAAAUAGCUUGCACACCUAACAAAAGAGAAGGAGGUACAUGAAAUGCUGUAUAUCUGGGUAACUGGAAUCCAGCACAGCUGGGAUACUGAAAUACGUGCAUGCUUGCUGACAAGGAGACAGGGUUUAUGACCCUCUGGCUGCUGAGUGAAAAGAGCAAGUUCCAGUGACAGCACAUGGAGGGAGCCGCACUUUUGUUUUUAAAAUAGCUAUGCACAUAAGUAAAAAUUAUGCCUACAAAGACUAUUAUAUUCAUAUACAUCAAAAUGAACCUUUUAAAAGUGGAAUCAUGAUUUUUUUCCUUGAGUUUGAAACCACAGAACAGCUUUCUCUGGGAGAAGUGUGAUCCUGGGGCUACAGAAUGGAGCAGCAGAGGAGUCUGCACUGCUCCUGCAGCCUAAAAGGCACAGCAGUGAGAGAAUAGCAGUGUCACCCAGUGGACACCACUGGGCCUGCUCGAGCUGACCCUUUCUGGCUUGGGGCCCCAGGAGAGAACAGGACUGAUAAUGCAUCUCUCCCAAGUCCCCAUCUCAUCCCAACACCUGGGGCACGAGGGGCUGGGAAAGGU
rnacentral:lncRNA from 10 species